rnacentral:rRNA from 1 species
GAUGAACGCUGGCGGCGUGCCUAAUACAUGCAAGUCGAGCGAACAGACGAGGAGUUUGCUCCUCUGACGUUAGCCGCAGACGGGUGUGUAACACGUGGAUACCCUACCUAUAAGACGGAUAUAACUUCGAGACACCGGAGCUAAUACCGGAUAAUCUAUUCAACCGCAUGGUUUUAUAGUGAAAGACGGUUUUUGUUUCACGUAUAGGUGGCUUCGCACCGCAUUAGCUAGAUGGUAAGGUAACGACCUACCAAGGCAAGGAAGCGUAGCCGAGGUGAGAGAGUGGUAGGCCACACGGGAGCGUGGCCACCGACCAGACUACUACGGGAGGCAGCAGAAGGGAACCUUACGCAAUGGUCGAAAGCCUGACGGAGCAGCGGCGCGCGAGUGAUGAAGGUCUCCGGAUCGGAAAGCUCUGUUAUGAGGGAAGAACAAAUGUGUAAGUAAAUAUGCACGUCGUGACGGUACCUAAUCAGAAAGCCACGGCUAACUACGUG